rnacentral:rRNA from 1 species
AAUGAACGCUGGCGGCAUGCCUAACACAUGCAAGUCGAACGAAGGCUUCGGCCUUAGUGGCGCACGGGUGCGUAACGCGUGGGAAUCUGCCCUUGGGUUCGGAAUAACAGUUAGAAAUGACUGCUAAUACCGGAUGAUGUCGUAAGACCAAAGAUUUAUCGCCCAAGGAUGAGCCCGCGUAGGAUUAGCUAGUUGGUGGGGUAAAGGCCUACCAAGGCGACGAUCCUUAGCUGGUCUGAGAGGAUGAUCAGCCACACUGGGACUGAGACACGGCCCAGACUCCUACGGGAGGCAGCAGUGGGGAAUAUUGGACAAUGGGCGAAAGCCUGAUCCAGCAAUGCCGCGUGAGUGAUGAAGGCCUUAGGGUUGUAAAGCUCUUUUACCCGGGAUGAUAAUGACAGUACCGGGAGAAAAAGCUCCGGCUAACUUCGUG